AGUUUUAUAGGGAGAAGAAUGAAUCUCAUUCAAAGACCUGCCACUAUUUGAUCAUACUUACUUGGAAGACCCACUCAAAAGUUUUAGCAGGCACAUGAACGUUUAUGACAGCGCAUUUCUCAACCUCCUUUGGAGCCCGUCCUGGAUCCCACUGAGUGCUGACUGAAGGCUUGUGAGCAGACGUAAGCUUGGCUGCAGGGUAGAGAAUGGGUAGAAGAGAAGAGAGAAGAUAAAACAAAGAGGAAAACUGUCAAAAUAUGGGAAAUAAUGAUUUCCAGACAUCAGAGAGCAAACACCUCAGGACUGUGACCCCUGAAAGAAGAGAAGCGAACAAGAACCCCUUUCUUAUGAUGCUGUUCAAGAUGAGGUACAACAUAGAGGAAGAGAAUAAGACUGCCAUAAUCCACCACUUACUUGAUGUGUAGUAUGGGAGGAUGACUUAAUUUCUUUUGCCUUUUUUCCUCAUUUAUUAUCAGACAUUGUUUUGGAAGGAUUUCUUGCGUGGCCUUGCCUGUGCAACCUCCUACUUAACUGCACUACUGUCCUUCCUACCCAGUAGAUGCCACUAGCACCCUUUCCCCAAGUCGUGAAAAUAAAAAAUGCUUCCAUAUAUUUCCAAAUGUCCCCUGAGGCAA